rnacentral:tRNA from 1 species
GGGUAGCCUAGUGGACAUGGCAUCUUCCCGGUAAGCGGAACACUGUGGGUUCGAUUCCCAUCAUCCCA